rnacentral:misc_RNA from 1 species
GUUCAAAGUUUAACAUAGAAAUACAUAGGAAAAUGUUUAAAAAAUCUUCUUCUCAAGAACCACUGCACCAGAAAUGCCAAUAUUUACACAAAAGCUUGUAUAUAUAGUGAAGAUUCGAAAUUGUUAAAAUCGUGACCCUCGGACCAAAACUGGGGCCCCAGGCGGGGUUCAAAGUUUAACAUAGAAAUACAUAGGAAAAUGUUUAAAAAAUCUUCUUCUCAAGAACCACUGCGCCAGAAAUGCCAAUAUUUACACAAAAGCUUGUAUAUAUAGUGAAGAUUCUAAAUUGUAAAAAUCGUGACCCUCGGACCAAAACUGGGGCCCCAGGCGGGGUUCAAAGUUUAACAUAGAACUACAUAUGGAAAAUGUUUAAAAAAUCUUCUUCUCAAGAACCACUGCACCAGAAAUGCCAAUAUUUACACAAAAAACUUGUAUAUAUAGUGAAGAUUCUAAAUUGUAAAAAUCGUGACCCUCGGACCAAAACUGGGGCCCCAGGCGGGGUUCAAAGUUUAACAUAGAAAUACAUAGGAAAAUGUUUAAAAAAUCUUCUUCUCAAGAACCACUUCACCAGAAAUGCCAAUAUUUACACAAAAGCUUGUAUAUAUAGUGAAGAUUCUAAAUUGUAAAAAUCGUGACCCUCGGACCAAAACUGGGGCCCCAGGCGGGGUUCAAAGUUUAACAUAGAAAUACAUAGGAAAAUGUUUAAAAAAUCUUCUUCUCAAGAACCACUUCACCAGAAAUGCCAAUAUUUACACAAAAGCUUGUAUAUAUAGUGAAGAUUCUAAAUUGUAAAAAUCGUGACCCUCGGACCAAAACUGGGGCCCCAGGUGGGGUUCAUAGUUUAACAUAGAAAUACAUAGGAAAAUGUUUAAAAAAUCUUCUUCUCAAGAACCACUGCUCCAGAAAUGCCAAUAUUUACACAAAAGCUUGAAUGUAUAAUGAAGAUUCUAAAUUGUAAAAAUCGCGACCCUCAGACCAAAACUGGGGCCCCAGGCGGGGUUCAAAGUUUAACAUAGAACUACAUAUGAAAAAUGUUUAAAAAUUUUCUUCUCAAGAACCACUUCACCAAAAAUGCCAAUACAUACACAAAAGGUUGUAUAUAUAGUGAAGAUUGUAAAAAUCGUGACCCCCGAACAAAAAUUGGGGCCCCAGUAGGGGUUUAGAUUUUAACAUAUAUAGGAAAAUGUUUUAAAAUCUUCUUCUCAAGAACUAUAGUGCAACUGUUUUGGAUAUUACUAUGCAUACAUGUACAUCCUUAAAUAAUGUAGAUUCAAAAAAUUGUAACUCCCGGACAAUUGAUGGGCACCAAGAGGGGUUCAAAAUUUAAACAUUUUAAAAAGCAUAAAGGAAAAGUUUCAAAAUUUUCUUCUCAAGAACUACAAUGUUUUAGUUUGUGGAAUUUCUAUGCAUGCAUCCUUCGCUUAUGUAGAUUCCUAAUUGGUAAAAUCGUGACCCCAGACCAAUACUGGGGCCCCAAGAUGGGGUCAAAGUUUAUUAUAGAAAUAUAAAGGUAACAUGUUAAAAAAUCUUCUUCUCAAGAACUACAAUGCUUCAAUUUGUGAGAUUACUAUCAUGCAUACAACCUUGGAUAAUGAAGGUUCGACAGUUUUAAAAUAGUGACCCUUGGACUAAUACUAGGGACCCAAGAUGGGUUUAAAGUUAAAUGUAGAAGUACCGGUAUAUAUGGAAAAUGUUUAAAAAUCUUCUUUUCGAGAACUACAAUGCAUCAAUUUGUCAGAUAACUACGUAAGCACCCUCAAAUAGUGUAGAUUCGAAAUUAAAAAAGCCGUGACCUCAAUCUAAUACUGGGGCCCCAAGAGGUGUUCAAAGUUUAAAUUAGCAUAGAAAUAUAGAGGGAAAAUGUUGAAAAAUCUUUUUCUAGGGAACUAUAAUGCUUCAGCUUGUGAGAUAACUAUGCAAGCAUCCUUAAAUAAUGUAGAUUCCAAAUAAUUAAAACUUUAGCACUGGACUAAUACUGUGGCCCCAAGAGGGGUUCAAAGUUUAACAUAGAAAGAUAUAUUGAAAAUGUUUUUUAAAAGUUUUUCUCGAGAACUAUAAUGCUACAGUUUGUGAGAUUACUUUGCAAGGAUCCUCAAAUUGUGUAAACUCUAAUGUAGUGGAACAAAGAGUUAUCUUUCUUGAUGUUCUGUAUAGUCUGAGAGUUAUUCCUCUUGAAGUGGAACUCUUCUCUUCUUUUUCAGGUUGUGUACGUGCGGUCCCACCGCAGUGCUACACAUUUUAAUUCCUAUGUUACUAUUUAUGUUGUUCAAGCCAACCAUAAACCUCGGACCAUAACUGGGUCCCCAGAAAGGGGUUCAAUGUUUAAAAUAGAAAAAGCAUAUGCUACGAAAUGUAAUGUUACAAGGAACUGCUGUUCAGGUGAGCGAUGUGGCCCAUGGGCCUCUUGUUAAUUUCAAGCAUCAACUAGUUGUUUAUAGAUGUUCAAUAUAGACAAAGGUAUGCAUGUUUAGUUUACCAAAACCAACUGUGCCAUUUUCAUUGAAAUCCACAGCUGUUUAGUAUUGAUCUACAUCAUGCAUCAACUGAAGGGCAUCAUGAUAAAAUGUUAAGGGAUAUAUACAAAUGUAUAAAGGGAUACUUUCAUUUAUUUUGUACUGUCGACUCUAUAACUUUCUAAAAGCUUUGAUGAAUUUUUACCCUUUCUUUUUUCUUUUUUUUUUAUUUAGUCAUAUUACACAUGUAUCAAGCAGUGAGAGUGAUUAAGCCUUGAUAAUAUCAUAAUAAAGACAUAAAAUGCAAUAUAUUUAACACUCCUCAGUACGUCUACUGUUUUAUUUUUAAAAAAUCAAAACAAUUCAAUUCAAAUUAGUAUUUGUUUUAUCAAUAGCUUUAUAUUAAAUGUUUGGGAAUUUAG